rnacentral:rRNA from 1 species
GGAGGGGGGCUAGCGUUGUUCAGAAUUACUGGGCGUAAAGGGCGCGUAGGCGGGCCUGUCAAGUUAGGGGGUGAAAGGCCCGGGCUCAACCCGGGAACUGCCCUUGAAACUGGCAAGCUAGAGUCCGAGAGAGGAUGGCGGAAUUCCCAGUGUAGAGGUGAAAUUCGUAGAUAUUGGGAAGAACACCGGUGGCGAAGGCGGCCAUCUGGCUCGGUACUGACGCUGAGGCGCGAAAGCGUGGGGAGCAAACAGGAUUAGAUACCCUGGUAGUCCACGCCGUAAACGAUGUGUGCUAGACGUUGGGGGUCUUAGGCCUUCGGUGUCGCAGCUAACGCGUUAAGCACACCGCCUGGGGAGUACGGCCGCAAGGUUA